ACGGGUGAGUAACACGUGGGCAAUCUGCCCUGCACUCUGGGACAAGCCCUGGAAACGGGGUCUAAUACCGGAUACUGACCCGCCUGGGCAUCCAGGCGGUUCGAAAGCUCCGGCGGUGCAGGAUGAGCCCGCGGCCUAUCAGCUUGUUGGUGAGGUAACGGCUCACCAAGGCGACGACGGGUAGCCGGCCUGAGAGGGCGACCGGCCACACUGGGACUGAGACACGGCCCAGACUCCUACGGGAGGCAGCAGUGGGGAAUAUUGCACAAUGGGCGCAAGCCUGAUGCAGCGACGCCGCGUGAGGGAUGACGGCCUUCGGGUUGUAAACCUCUUUCAGCAGGGAAGAAGCGCAAGUGACGGUACCUGCAGAAGAAGCGCCGGCUAACUACGUGCCAGCAGCCGCGGUAAUACGUAGGGCGCGAGCGUUGUCCGGAAUUAUUGGGCGUAAAGAGCUCGUAGGCGGCUUGUCGCGUCGGUUGUGAAAGCCCGGGGCUUAACCCCGGGUCUGCAGUCGAUACGGGCAGGCUAGAGUUCGGUAGGGGAGAUCGGAAUUCCUGGUGUAGCGGUGAAAUGCGCAGAUAUCAGGAGGAACACCGGUGGCGAAGGCGGAUCUCUGGGCC
rnacentral:rRNA from 1 species